AAUAAACUCUGCAAAUUACAUACAAUAUCCCUAUUAUUUUAUGUAUAAGUAAUAAAAUAUCUAUUUCUUAAAAAUUAUUUGCUUAUAGAAUACGUUGUAACAUGUCUUACACGGAGUUCUUAUUGCUACGUAAACCGAGUAUGCUACCGUGGCUCUUGAUAUUGAUUGGAUAGAUUUGGCUGACGUAUCAAUAUUUACAUUAUUAUGAUAAACUAUGCGUCUUCCUUGUCCCUUCUAUCGCACACUUUUCGGUAGAAAGACUCUUCGGUUGAAAGGAUUCUAUUCAGUUAUCAUCGUCCUGUAAGUUGGAACGGACACAAUGUCAGAAAUUAUUGUAACUACAGAAAACGUGUGGCAAUAUUACGAAAAAGUGUCGGAAUACGAAGCAGCAUGCAAAUUUUGCAGUCUUAAAUUUAUUUUCGUCGUUCAAUAUAUUUUUCUUCGACAUGUAAGAGAACAGCAUAAAGAAAUAGCAAAAUACGAAGAAACAUAUGAAGGACAACAAGAAUGGCCAUGGAUAUGUUUUAAGUAUAACGAUACUUCCACUUCACAAUGUCUUCUCUGUCGUAAGAAUUUUCAAUCUGAUUUUCAAUCUUUAGUAGAUCAUUUAUGCCAGGAGCAUUUUAACAGUGAAAAAGAUUACGUAUUUCACAAUUGGGAAUGGAAAUAUUGUAAUAGAACUAAUGAUUUUACAGUAGAAUGCAGUAUACGUUCCAACUGCUCCCGCGUAUUCAAUAUUACUAUACAUGACAAAUUAAUUGAACAUAUAAUAAUUAAACAUUCGAAAGAAUUAAGAGAUGCGCGAGGAAUAUACGACAUAGUUCUUUCGUCAGAAUCCAUUCUGAAAUUAAAAGCUAUAGAAAUUGAUAAAAACAUGUGGGAAUAUUAUACCAAAUUGUCGUAAACGUAAAACAAAUUAUACGUCGUAGGAAUAAUUAUAUGUAAAAAAAUAUGCCACUGUGCCAUAUUUGAAAUUGUUUGAAUCGUCAAAAUUGACGAUUGACAUUAUUAUUGGUUGUGAUGCCACUUGAAACGUCGCAUAUACAAGAAAAGCAUGAAGCAAUUUUUAAAUGGGAAGAGGCACACACAAGAAGCCAACAUCAAGAACGACAAUUUUAAAUAUUUAUAUAUAUUUCCGAUAAAGACGAACUAUCUAUACAAUACUCAAGAGUGUCUUAUGUAUGGUGAACUCUUUGUGAUCACUCCAAACUGUCUAACAACACAUCUAUUAGAGAAGCAUUCUAAGGAAAAACAUUAUAAUUCCAUAAAGAACUCUUGGGUAAUGAAAUAUUUUAGACUGGGACAAAAAAAAACUGAUGAUACUGAUAAGAUCAAGUGUACUAUUUGUUACAAAAACAUAUUUGAUAGUACUAAUCCUAUUAUGUCCAAACAUAUAAUUAAAAAACAUUCGAACAAAUUGCAAACAUGCAUCUCAAAAAAAAAUAUGUAAAAACUGUUGCAAAAUUACGAAAAGUUGAAAAAUUUUAUAGUAGAAUGCCGACAAGACAAUUGCGACUUUCAAUCUUCUUACAUCAGUACAACAAACUUUAGUGAACACGUAAAAGAAAAGCAUGUAGAAGUAUAUAAUUAUGAAGAAAGACACGGGAAAAUAUGGCCGUUUCAGUAUUUCAAGUAUUUCAACCCAUAUAUCUUACAAUGUUGGCUCUAUAAUACUGGUCGUCAAUCUGAUCAUAUAGAUAAUUUGACAUAUCAUUUGAAUUACAAGCAUUUUCCUGAGAAACCGACUUUCUAUUUAAUCUGCAACUGGGUAUGGAAAUAUUGUGAAAAAAUUGGAGAUUCUGAAGUGCAAUGUAGUAUUUGUCGCCGCAAAAUACUUCUUGACGUUCAGUUAUGGUGUUUCGAUCGUCACAUUGAAAAUGAACAUCCCGACAAGCUGAUAAGUACACAGAAAACGGAUGACACAGCUGGACCAUCAGGAAAUCAACCAAACUGAAGAAAACAGGUUUGACAUAUCACUUGAAUUACAAGCAUUUUCCUGAGAAACCGACUUUCUAUUUAAUCUGCAACUGGGUAUGGAAAUAUUGUGAAAAAAUUGGAGAUUCUGAAGUGCAAUGUAGUAUUUGUCGCCGCAAAAUACUUCUUGACGUUCAUUUAUGGUGUUUCGAUCGUCACAUUGAAAAUGAACAUCCCGACAAGCUGAUAAGUACAUAGAGAACGGAUGACACAGCUGGACCAUCAGAAAAUCAACCAAACUGAAGAAAACAGGUUUAUCCAGAGUUUGACAACGGACUGAUGAUAAUCUGAUGUGUUGUUAAGCAGUUUGGGGUAAUCACAAAAAGUUUACGACACAUAAGGCACUCUGAAUAUUGUAUGGAUAGUUCGUCUUUAUCGGAAAAAUAUGCAUACAAAUAUUUAAAAUACAUCCAUGGUCUUGAUGUUGGCUUCUUGUGUAUUCCUCUUUCCAUUUAAAAAUUGCUUCAUGCUUUUCUUGUAUACGUUUCAAGUGGCAUCGCAACCAAUAAUAAUGUCAAUCGUCAAUUUUGACGAUUCAAACAAUUUCAAAUAUGGCAAAGUGGCAUAUUUUUUUACAUAUAAUUAUUCCUA